GGAAAGCGCGGGGUAGAAAGGGCAGAGUCCGUGACUAGGCCUCUAGCCCCAGGGACCUAGGCGAGGACAGGCACUCCUGCUUUUCCAAGAGCACCCUGGCCCGCCACGCCCCCAGCCUGGGCCUAUAAACACCCACGACCCUAGCAAGGCAGAGACAGAAGCUGCUGGAGGGCGAGAGGAACGCAUCAGUGGAAGAAGACAGAAGCGGCUGGUCACGGAGAGCAUGUCAGCAGAAGAACACACCUACAGACGCCGGCUCGCCCGCGGGCUCCCCGGCAGGCCAUCGACCGGUGGGACGAGGUGGAGUUUGUCCUGGGCAGUAGGAGGACAGCCCGGGCACCCAGCGGCCCAACUCCAGGGGAAAGCCAUCUCCCUUCUGGAGCUGCCCAACUCCGGGGGAAAACCAUCUCCUUUCUGACUCUCCUGUCGGUGGAGAGUUACUUCCACUCAAUACGAUUUUGCAGUCAUUCUCCAAGCCCACGUGUGAUCCGAUUCUUCCGGUACACCAAGGCAAGAACCCGGGAUACAGAAAGCCCUCUGGCCUUAUGACAAGGUAGAGGGUCUAACUGAGCUAUAGACCGUGAACUAAGAGCGCACCCUGGAACACACGCCCUCUGGGGCUUCAGCUGUAAACAUCCACCCUUAGACACUGCCAUGGGGUUGGAGCCCCACAACCUGCCCAUCUCUAUGCCCCACUAGAGGUAUGACCAACGGGGCACUGAAGAGGCGAGCACACCCCAUCGCACGCCCUGCAAGGGGGACGGGGGAACCUUUCCCAUUUCAACACCACCGCUGUGGCUGCAUGUGGCUGCCAUAAGAAAAAGAACCCAUUCUUUGGCACAGCUGAAGCAGGACUCUUCUCGUUGUUCUCCAGAGUCUGGCUGGCCUGGAACGUGCCAUGACUGUACAAUAUGAUAGGAGGGAGACUGUACCAGCUCCAAGCCAGCUUUUCUGAUACCUGCAGCUUCUGAUUCCUCUGGAGGAGAAGUCAGCUACUAGUUCGAACAUUCUACAGACACAAGUAACAUAAAUUCCAGUUCCACAUGUUUUAACUGAAAAAGGAAAAACAGCUACUAGAGGUUGUUGUUUGUUG
rnacentral:lncRNA from 10 species